AUUGAACGCUGGCGGAAUGCUUUACACAUGCAAGUCGAACGGCAGCACGGACUUCGGUCUGGUGGCGAGUGGCGAACGGGUGAGUAAUGUAUCGGAACGUGCCCAGUCGUGGGGGAUAACGUAGUGAAAAUUACGCUAAUACCGCCUACGAUCUAUGGAUGAAAGCGGGGGAUCGCACGACCUCGCGCGAUUGGAGCGGCCGAUAUCAGAUUAGGUAGUUGGUGGGGUAAAGGCCCACCAAGCCAACGAUCUGUAUCUGGUCUGAGAGGACGACCAGCCACACUGGAACUGAGACACGGUCCAGACUCCUACGGGAGGCAGCAGUGGGGAAUUUUGGACAAUGGGCGAAAGCCUGAUCCAGCCAUUCCGCGUGCAGGAUGAAGGCCCUCGGGUUGUAAACUGCUUUUGUACAGAACGAAAAGGUUUCUACUAAUACUAGGAGCUCAUGACGGUACUGUAAGAAUAAGCACCGGCUAACUACGUGCCAGCAGCCGCGGUAA
rnacentral:rRNA from 1 species